UGCUGGGGGUCACUAAGGAGCUAGCGGAGAGAUAAGAAAAGAAUGAGGAAGCAGUGGUGGGACUGGGCAGGGUGCCUCCACAGAUUCCACCAGUUGGAAAGCCCCUGGGAGGAAUCUCGACCCCUUUUCUCUCUGAGGAGCCCUCCGGGAGGCGGCCUAAAGGUUACAUGGAAGUCUCUCCAGCUGCAAAGCGGAUCCCUUCCAGGAAGUUGAUGCCCGUCAUCUCAACAUCAGAUUGUAUUGGAUGUGUUGAAUAUGGCUUGAAGUAAGGCAGACCCUGAUGCUGGGAAAGAUUGAAGGCAGGAGGAGAAGGGGACGAGAUGGUUGGAUGGCGUCACCAAUUCAAUGGACAUAAGUCUGAGCAAACUCCAUGAGAUGGUGAAGGACAGGGAAGCCUGGCGUGCUGCAGUCCAUGGGGUGCCAUGAUUGAGUGAAUUAACAACAAAGGCUCCACCUGUAGCUUCUAGGUGAUGGAAGGGGUCUUGGCUUCGGGACAUGACAUAUGGCUCGGUGAUUCCUCAAGGGGCAGGUGAAGCUGUCACAUUCCCAUGUGGCAUGGUUCUCAUGUCCUCUGACCCUUCGCCCAUCUCUGGCAGGCUCAGGAGCCACUCUUGGCAUCACCAGACAAGUCACAGAAAGGCAUCCCCGUGGGAACAGGAAGGAAUUGUCUGUUAUUCCAGCCUUCACCACAGCAAAAGGAACCACCAAGGAACACGUGUCUCUCACUGAAAGCCGUGGAGAACUUGGAAUGAGUCCUUGGUUGUGGAAGAGCAAGGAUGUGAGCCUUGGAGCU